rnacentral:rRNA from 1 species
GACGAACGCUGGCGGCGUGCUUAACACAUGCAAGUCGAACGGAAAGGCCCUGCUUUUGUGGGGUGCUCGAGUGGCGAACGGGUGAGUAACACGUGAGUAACCUGCCCUUGACUUUGGGAUAACUUCAGGAAACUGGGGCUAAUACCGGAUAGGAGCUCCUGCUGCAUGGUGGGGGUUGGAAAGUUUCGGCGGUUGGGGAUGGACUCGCGGCUUAUCAGCUUGUUGGUGGGGUAGUGGCUUACCAAGGCUUUGACGGGUAGCCGGCCUGAGAGGGUGACCGGCCACAUUGGGACUGAGAUACGGCCCAGACUCCUACGGGAGGCAGCAGUGGGGAAUAUUGCACAAUGGGCGGAAGCCUGAUGCAGCAACGCCGCGUGCGGGAUGACGGCCUUUGGGUUGUAAACCGCUUCCGCCUGUGACGAAGCGUGAGUGACGGUAAUGGGUAAAGAAGCACCGGCUAACUACGUG